GACGUAGGGCGCGAGCGUUGUCCGGAUUUAUUGGGCGUAAAGAGCUCGUAGGCGGCUUGUUGCGUCGUCCGUGAAAACCCACGGCUUAACUGUGGGCUUGCGGUCGAUACGGGCGGGCUGGAGUUCGGUAGGGGAGACUGGAAUUCCUGGUGUAGCGGUGAAAUGCGCAGAUAUCAGGAGGAACACCGGUGGCGAAGGCGGGUCUCUGGGCCGAUACUGACGCUGAGGAGCGAAAGCGUGGGGAGCGAACAGG
rnacentral:rRNA from 1 species